rnacentral:snRNA from 1 species
GGAUGCAGGGGUGAUCUGGCUGUGACAUCGGUCACCCCAGUGAUCUCCAGCAUUGAUUUGGCUGAUGUGGCUGGCUGGGUAGAUGUCCCUUUCCUCCCUCGCUGCUCCGUGGGUGUCCCUCCCGAAGCUGAGUGCUUGGUGAAAGAGGGCAACCACCCGGAGAGAGGAGGACUGUUUCCUUGGUCAAGGGCAUAAGGAGCUGAACUCUCCUGCUAGAACCUCCAAACCAGCUCCGGAGGAUGGAGAAUUGAGACUCUGAAUUAAUAAGAAAAUCCACCAAGU